UGAGGAAUAUUGCACAAUGGGGGAAACCCUGAUGCAGCAACGCCGCGUGGAUGAUGAAGGCCUUCGGGUUGUAAAAUCCUUUUCUGAGGGAAGAUAAUGACGGUACCUCAGGAAUAAGUUCCGGCUAACUACGUGCCAGCAGCCGCGGUAAAACGUAGGGGACAAGCGUUAUCCGGAUUUACUGGGCGUAAAGCGCAUGUAGGUGGCGCUGAAAGUUGGACGUGAAAGCUCCUGGCUUAACUGGGAGAGGUCGUUCAAAACUACAGUGCUUGAGGUUGGAAGAGGAGAGCGGAAUUCCCGGUGUAGUGGUGGAAUGCGUAGAUAUCGGGAGGAACACCAGUGGCGAAAGCGGCUCUCUGGUUCACACCUGACACUGAGAUGCGAAAGCGUGGGGAGCGAACGGGAUUAGAUACCCCGGUAGUCCACGCUGUAAACGAUGGAUACUAGGUGUAGGAGGUCAUUAACCCCUUCUGUGCCGAAGCUAACGCGUUAAGUAUCCCGCU
rnacentral:rRNA from 1 species